rnacentral:lncRNA from 1 species
AUGGAGAAGAACCAGCCCGAGGGAGCUGGGCCCAGCCACUACCCAACAAGGGACGGGGUGGCAGGUCCAAGAGAGGUCAAGCCCUCUGUAUCCAGUCACCACGACGAUAGCUUUGUGACCCCUAAACCAACCCAGAAGUCCUCUAAGAAAGCUGUUAUCACCUUCAGCAGUGACGAAGAGGAGGAAGAUGCUGUCAUGGCAGAGAGCGGGACACCUAAGGUGACCACACCCAUCGCCCGCACCUCUCGACGUGCUCGUCUCCGACACUGAUCUCCCUCUGCUUUUAGUUUGUCCUGUUCUAUUGUUUUGUCGUCUUUUUAAAUCAUGUUUUCACUUUUUUAAGUGACUUUAAAAUCUUUUAAUGUUCCUCUAGUCAGCACUAAAUACUUUGACUCAGUCUUUUUGUAGCGGAAUCAAGACUUUAAAAAAAACCUUUGGUGUGAACCACACUACCUCUGUCAUCCGUGUGUGUUUGCAAGUGGAGUCAGAUUUAUGCCCUCAUUACAAGGAGUAAUGAAUGCCCUUCUCUUGCAUUGUGUUUGGUCAGUGAAAUAGUGUGUUCAGGUUGGAUUGUCACAGCUUGGCUAGACACUGUUGCUACCGUUCUUACUCCUUCACUUUCUCUCCUCCAUGCUCUCCUAUAUCUGCCAGCCCACCUGUUAUUAAACCUGUUAAAAACAGUUUACCUAAAUCCUCCUGAGACCCAGCAAUUUUGUCCUCUAGUGGACAUAUAGUUCUUGGUCCGUAUCUGAGGCCAUACAUGCUACUUUAUGAAGUCUUGUUUGAGAGGACAUUUGGCUUUUCAAUUAUGUCCAUUGGGGGGUGUCAUAUUUAUGUUUUGACCACUAAAGAGGACACUUUGGCACAUACUAAGAAAAGUUUUAAAGUAACAUGCUGUUUUCACCCCAAAACACUUGUGUAAAAAAAAAUGUAUCCUUUACCUUUUACCUGGUUCUCACCUGGUUUAUGAAGAGCCUGACACCUGAACAAAAUGGUAGCAUGUUAUUUUAGAGGUGGAAAAAAACACACCUAUUAAGGAGAGCAUGUUAUUUUACGCAACUUCACUCCCUAAUUGUCCCUCUGACACGUGCUCCAUCUCUACCUCCUCCCCUCUCCCAUGCUCUUUCUCUGCCUAUGUUAUGUUCCUCGGUCUCUCUCCUCCUUCACUGACAUCGUCAUGCGCUGUAACUUCACCCCCUCCCCUCUUUUGUAGCUAGUCUCUUCCCUCUCCUCUCGCCCACUCUAUACCGCCCACUCUAUACCGCUCCCUCUCUCCUUUUAAAUGACACAGAAGUGCACUUCUGUUUUUGUGAGUUAUGUAAAGGGAAUAAACACCUUUUGCUGACUUCAGACUAACAAUAUAGUUUGACAACGUAGAGUUUCUAAACCCAAUCUGACAGACAUUUUGUGUUGGAUGAAGACUUGUGAAUAUAUUUCAGGGACUGGUGAGUAAUGUUGGUGGCUGGUUUCUGUGGGGCGUGUCCAAUCCAACGCCACUUUUUAUUAGUAGUUCAAUGGAUUCCUGUCCAGUUUUUCCCUGGGGUUCCAUUUUAGGAAAUUCUGAACCUCUUAGUUGAAACAAGGUCAACCCAUUCAGAGAUGACCUAAACCAAUGCCUGUACCAAGGGAUAUGGAAGAUGUUUUUAGAAGGCAAGAGCUUGUCAAACUGCUUCAUGAUUUGUGUUCACUACAUACUGUAAGAGGUAUUACUGGAGAAUGUUGCUGAAUUUGCAAAUCCAUCCACAGCCAGACCUUACUGUCUGUAGGCCAGUGUUGUGUUCGAGACCACCUAAAGCAAGACUGAGCCCGGGUUCUCAGUCUUAAAAUUCUUUAUUAUUUUCAAUUAUCUGAUUUAAUCUCUUCAGUUUUUGUUGGAUAGCGUUAAUGAAAUGACAAUCUCAGUACUGAAUUUCCACAACAUUUUUGAUAACUAGGAGCUGGUCUGCAACUUCACCUGUUGACCGCUCCUGAAGAUCUGGGUAAACUGUGCACAGGGGAUCCGAAAUUGGGAUCUGAGUAAACCACGCUUAUUAUUGAGCAGCUUGACCCGACUAUGAUCUGAAAGGUAGCUGGCACGGGUGGCCACCAAAAAACGAUAUGAGGGGAAAAUCAGUUACUCACCCACUCAAUGACAUAACAUUGUCCUAACAGUUUUGAUCUAGCUCCAUGUUUUUAGCUUGCUACACAAAUAGAUACAGUAGCCUAUUAGCCACGUUAUGAUUGACUUGUGAUCAUUACCCUUGCUAGUUUGAUUGUAUUGACAUUCCCAGCCUUAGUUACAUUUGUGCGUUUUUGUCCAGAUUAGUCAUUGAAACUGAAACAGUGCAUCCUGAAUGGAGGCAGCGAACAAUGUACCAGGCCAGCUGUGAUUUACAACCUGAUAGUGUAUUGGUGAAUUAUAAUCAUGCAUCCAUCUAUUCUGGCAACAAUGCCUUAGUAUACCUCAUGGAACAAUGAGUCAGAGUUUAAAACCUCUUAUAAAGUUGAUUUUGUAGCAUAAACUGGGAAUUUACAUUUAUUGAUAUUAUGAUGUUUGUUUCAAAUAUGCAAAGUAGUUAACGCUGUCAGUUCCACUUUAGGUCACUGGUUACUUUGUGUGAUAGUGAAAUGUGUUUUGCAAUGGGAAGUAAUAGUUGUACAUUUCGAUUGGGAAACAAUGGUUGUAUUCUUGUGAUUGGGACCUACUGAUUUAUUAUGUCUGAGUUUAUGGAGAGUUUGUCCUGUAACAUCAUGCUGUUUUGUGACUGCUGUCUUUCCAUCGGCGCUAUGCAGUGGUGUCGAUGUGUUUGGAGAAGAAGUGGGUAUUUUCUAAUUUUGUCAAUCUUCCCAUAAGUCCCGCCCAGCAAAGGAAAGGCACCCUUUGUGAAAAAUCCUGUUUUUUUUAAAGAGUUUUCUGUAGAUUUUCCAGAUUUUCACCUUAAAUCACACCUUUUUUAAAUAGACAAAAUACACGUGAGGGUGUAAGUCCACAACAAUGCUUAAAUCACAUCAAUCUGUUUGGGUGGGCCUCUGUCCACCCAGGCCCAUCCAUGUCUACACCCCUGAUGCAAACAGGGCAUGAUGACAGUUGCACAUUACAAAUAGCCGACUAACCAACACUUCUGACUAAACUUUUUCAACACCUGGUUUGCAUACCCAUUGUUGCCUUGGUUAACAUUUACUGGGAGAUAAGUUGAAACAUCUUUCCUACCAGCUGCCGAUGUCAUUCUUCUCUGAGCUGCUCCAUGCCAAACCCAUCUGAAGCUGCACACUUACUGUCUGCAGAUGUCAUUCUUCUCUGAGCUGCUCCAUGCCAAACCCAUCUGAAGCUGCACACUUACUGUCUGCCGAUGUCAUUCUUCUCUGAGCUGCUCCAUGCCAAACCCAUCUGAAGCUGCACACUUACUGUCUGCAGAUGAUAUUCUUCUCUGAGCUGCUCCAUGCCAAACCCAUCUGAAGCUGCACACUUACUGUCUGCAGAUGAUAUUCUUCUGAAACCAGGCUAUGUGCAGCGUACAUGUGAAUAUAUUUCACGUUCUUUGAUUGUGUAGGCUACUUUGUGCAUAAUUUCUCUAGUGUAAUACAUCAUUGAUAUAUCAUAGGUUCACUACACGACUUUGAUAUGCAACAGUAGGGAUUAAGAGGUGAGUAUAUGCAAUGCCCACUGAGCAAAAGCUCCACUACACCCUGGCCCUUUGUUUUACAGAAAGUGCAUUCUCCUACAUGUGUGCGCUGGUAUUAGUUGAUCUCUUUUCAGAAUCACAAACCUAUAGGCCUCCAGUGAUUCUGAAAGGUUUGCCACUGUGCAAACAGUCUAAUAGAUUUUUUAAAAAGCUGUUUAAUAUAUUGUUUCAGGAAAGGAGUGUAUAUAUUUGGCCUGGUAAAGCAGUUCUAUGUGCUGACUGAAUGGAAGCUAAUAAUUGUUAGUUUUUACUCUGGUCUUGGGAAGAAAUCACGAGUCCUUACUGUCUGAGACAGAGUACAAAUGUAUCAGACACCAAGGAAGACCAGACUCAGUACUACCUCAGGCUUUAGGCUAUAGCCAAUCGGGUCAAUGCUCAUGCCUGUGUAUCUGCAGGUAGUCUCUUAUGACAGACACCAGCACGUAUGAGAGAUUUGGUCCUGGGUGCUGAGAUUAAUCUGCUGGUGAUCAGAGCAUGUGUUGAACCUUUGUGCAUUGCCUGCAGGGGGCUAAGAGCAGAUGGUACUGACAGACUGUAACUCACUGUAUGAGGGAGAGAAGGCACCACACACAGGUUAGAGUGAGGCUAUAAACACACAGGAUGGAAAGUGAGGCUUUGCAAUGACCACUAUACACACACAGCAGAGAUGCUAUGACACAAAUGCAGUGCAGGGAUAUACAGUGGGGAGAACAAGUAUUUGAUACACUGACAAUUUUGCAGGUUUUCCUACUUACAAAGCAUGUAGAGGUCUAAUUUUUAUCAUAGGUACACUUCAACUGUGAGAGACGGAAUCUAAAACAAAAAUCCAGAAAAUCACAUUGUAUGAUUUUUUUUAAGUAAUUAAUUUGCUUUUUAUUGCAUGACAUAAGUAUUUGAUCACCUACCAACCAGUAAGAAUUCUGGCUCUCAGACAUGUUAGUUUUUUUUAAAGAAGGCCUGUUCACUCAUUACCUGUAUUAACUGCACCUGUUUGAAUGCUUUACCGGUAUAAAAGACACCUGUCCACACACUCACUCAAA